GACGAACGCUGGCGGCGUGCCUAACACAUGCAAGUCGAACGGGGAUUUUGUUUCGGCAGAAUCCUAGUGGCGAACGGGUGAGUAACGCGUAUCCAACCUUCCCCAUAGUAGGGCAUAGCCCGUAGAAAUGCGGAUUAAUACCCUAUGUAUUCCGAGGAUGACAUCUGAUUCGGAACAAAGGUUCACCGCUAUGGGAUGGGGAUGCGUCUGAUUAGGUAGUCGGCGGGGUAACGGCCCACCGAGCCAUCGAUCAGUAGGGGUUCUGAGAGGAAGGUCCCCCACAUUGGAACUGAGACACGGUCCAAACUCC
rnacentral:rRNA from 1 species